AAGCAGUCGCUGGGGUGCUCCUGGAUCCCCGGCGGUUGACUCUCCCUGUCGGGCCUCCUGUCAGCGGCCUAGCGGAAAAACGGAAGAUGUCGGAAUAUAUCCGGGUAACGGAAGACGAGAAUGACGAGCCCAUUGAAAUUCCAUCGGAAGACGACGGGACGGUGCUGCUGUCCACGGUCACGGCCCAGUUUCCCGGGGCCUGCGGGCUGCGCUACCGGAACCCCGUGUCGCAGUGCAUGCGCGGGGUCCGGCUGGUGGAGGGCAUUCUGCACGCCCCGGACGCCGGCUGGGGCAACCUGGUGUAUGUGGUCAACUACCCCAAAGAUAACAAAAGGAAGAUGGAUGAAACAGAUGCUUCAUCAGCAGUGAAAGUGAAAAGAGCCGUCCAGAAAACAUCUGAUUUAAUAGUGUUGGGUCUCCCGUGGAAGACAACUGAGCAGGAUCUAAAAGAAUAUUUUAGUACCUUUGGAGAAGUUCUUAUGGUUCAGGUCAAGAAAGAUAUUAAAACUGGUCAUUCAAAAGGGUUUGGGUUUGUUCGAUUUACGGAAUAUGAAACGCAGGUGAAAGUAAUGUCACAGAGACAUAUGAUAGAUGGACGAUGGUGUGACUGUAAACUUCCUAAUUCUAAGCAAAGCCCAGAUGAGCCUCUGCGAAGCAGGAAGGUGUUUGUUGGGCGCUGUACAGAGGACAUGACGGCUGAUGAGCUGCGGCAGUUCUUCUGCCAGUACGGAGAAGUGGUAGAUGUCUUCAUUCCCAAACCAUUCAGGGCUUUUGCCUUUGUUACAUUUGCAGAUGAUCAGGUUGCCCAGUCUCUUUGUGGAGAGGACUUGAUCAUUAAAGGAAUCAGCGUACAUAUAUCCAAUGCUGAACCUAAGCACAAUAGCAAUAGACAGUUAGAAAGAAGUGGAAGAUUUGGUGGUAAUCCAGGUGGCUUUGGGAAUCAGGGUGGAUUUGGUAACAGUAGAGGGGGCGGAGCUGGCUUGGGAAAUAAUCAAGGUAGUAACAUGGGUGGAGGGAUGAACUUUGGUGCUUUUAGCAUUAAUCCAGCGAUGAUGGCUGCAGCCCAGGCAGCGCUGCAGAGCAGCUGGGGUAUGAUGGGCAUGUUAGCCAGUCAGCAGAACCAGUCGGGCCCAUCAGGUAAUAACCAAAGCCAGGGCAACAUGCAGAGGGAGCCAAAUCAGGCCUUUGGGUCUGGAAAUAACUCUUACAGUGGUUCUAAUUCAGGGGCAGCCAUUGGUUGGGGAUCAGCUUCAAAUCCAGGGUCAGGCAGUGGUUUUAAUGGAGGCUUUGGCUCAAGCAUGGAUUCAAAACCUUCUAGCUGGGGAAUGUAGACAGUGGAUGACGGUUGGUUGUAUAGACUGGUGGGAAUUCAAAUUUUUCUAAUCUCAUGGUAAGUAUAUUGUAAAAUACAUAUGUACUAAGAAUUUUCAAAAUUGGUUUGUUCAGUGUGGAGUAUAUUCAGCAGUAUUUUUGACAUUUUCUUUAGAAAAAGAGGAAGAAUUAAAGGAAUUUUAUAAGUUUUGUUACAUAAAGGGUUGAAAUACUGAGUGUUUGAAAGUGAACUGCUGUUUGCCUGAUUGGUAAACCAACACACUACAAUUGAUAUCAAAAGGUUUCUCUUGUAAUAAUUUAUCCCUGGACUCGUCAAGUGAAUUCUUUGCAUGUUCAAAAUGGAAACCAUUAAUUAGAACUACAUUCUUUUCUUUUAAUUUGAACCCCACCAUAUGGAUUUUUUCCUUAGGAAUAUCUCCUUUUUGGAGAUCAUGGUGUCACAGUGUUUGGUUCUUUUGUUUUUGUUUUUUAACACUUGUCUCCGUUCAUAUGCAAAAGUACAAUAUGAAGCCUUCAUUUAAUCUCUGCAGUUCAUCUCAUUUCAAAUGUUUAUGGAAGAAGCACUUCAUUGAAAGUAGUGCUGUAAAUAUUCUGCCAUAGGAAUACUUCUGUCUACAUGCUUUCUCAUUCAAGAUUUCGUCAUCACACUGCACAGGCUGCGUCUUUGACGGUGGGUGUCCCAUUUUUAUCCGCUACUCUUUAUUUCAUGGAGUCGUAUCAACGCUAUGAACGCAAGGCUGUGAUAUGGAACCAGAAGGCUGUUUGAACUUUUGAAACCUUGUGUGGGAUUGAUGGUGGUGCCGAGGCAUGAAAGGCUAGUAUGAGCGAGAAAAGGAGAGAGCGCGUGCAGAGACGGUGGUGCAAAAUGGAUAUUUUUUAACUUGGCGAGAUGUGUCUCUCCAUCCUGUGGCUUUGGUGAGAGAGUGUGCAGAGAGCAAUGAUAGCAAAUAACGUACGAAUGUUUCUUGCAUUCAAAGGACAUCCACAUCUGUUGGAAGACUUUAACACUUGCACUAUUACUCAGCAGCAGUAACAUGGUAACACUUAAAAUGGUACUCGGGGACCUCCAAAGACUAAACUGACAAGCCUUCAAGGAGCCCAGGGUUUCUUUUCAGAUGGUGAGGGCUUGGUUCCAAGCAGCACCCACCCCCAGCUUGGAGCAACGUGCUUACCAUCACCUCCUGCCAUGGUGUAGAAGAUCUCAUUGCAGCGGUACUGAAUCACAGCUUUGUACGUCGUCACCUCAGAACCCGAGAGGUACUCCACACGGCCGUUGGGCAGGUCAUCAGGAGGGCCACACUCAACAACUAAUGAACAGGGGAGAGGGAGGAGUCAGUUUCUGCGUUUAAUUCUAACAUUAGAAAGAUGUGGAGUCCGGUAGACAGUGAGCCCUGUGGUGCUGGGUUGGGGUGCAGUCCCUGCGGGGGUGGCGUGAGGCCUUUCCUCAAGGAAGGGGAUCUGAAACCACACGACUUCCUCGACGCUCUCCCUUCUGACAGGAAGGUCUGCAGCCACAGGAGGGAGGAGGCGGCACAGCCUGCACUGUCUAGCUCCCCCAAAAGGGCACUCAAACGACAAUGCAAAGCUGACUCUGAAGGGCGCAGUUUGUUCUUAGGAUCCCUUUCCUAAUUGACCCUAUUGUUAGAGAAAGGGAUCGGCUGCCUCCUGCACGCCCCAACCGGGGGUGGAACCCACAACCUGUGUAUGUGCCCAGACCAGGAAUCCAACCGCCACCUUCUGUUGUACGGAUGAUGCUCCAACCAACUGAGCCACACAGGCCGGGGCUCAUAGAUUGAACUUUCUAGAAGACCUGGAAGUCCUUGAAUUUGGAUUAGAAUUCACACUUGGGACAUUGCUAAUAGGAAGGAAGUAACCACUUUGUGAGGCAGUGCUAAACGUCUCCACACAGUGGAUGUAUAAAAUGGUUGGUGCAUAUCUAGGUAUUCAAAGACUGCAUUUAAAUGAUCCUCAGCAAUAUCUGUGUGCCUGGCUCUGCCAAGUGCUUUGUCUGCAUUGCCUAAUUGUCUGUAGAUGAGACGCCAUAACUACCCAACCAAAAAUAGCCGAAGCAGGGCUCAAACCCAGACCUCUGGCUUCCACUGCCUUUAGAACUCUUCUGCUGCUUUUUUAACUAAAAGAAUUGGUGGGAAUGUAAAUUUAUGAAAUAAAAAAUAUUUAAUUCCCCCAGGCA